rnacentral:misc_RNA from 1 species
GGGAGAGGUUGGUUUGCAUUUCUAUUUAUUUAAAUGGUCAUUCCUUCUUAAUUAAUUCCAAAUUUACUUUUUCUGUGGUCUAAAUUCAAAAUAUAUCAUUUUGAGCAAGUUAUUAAUGCAAAUUUCAAUGUAUAUUUUGGAUUUUAAAUUUGAGAUAUGGAGAUAGUGCCAUUGUGGAUAUUCAUUUUCAUACUUUUCUGUCAACUUAAUUGAUGUGAUUUCUCUGCAUGUAUGUUCUAAUUGUUUUAGUAUGGUAUAUGAUUGCAAAUGAACUUUCUAUUGAAGGCUUUUUCAUGCAGAUCAAACGAUUUUAGAUUCUCAAUGAUUGUUGUUUUGUCACUGGAGUUGGUCUUCUAUUAGCAAUUCCAAAACUGUGAUUGUGAAAAGAACUCUAUGC